GACGAACGCUGGCGGCGUGUCUUAACACAUGCAAGUCGAGCGGUAAGGCCCUUUCGGGGGUACACGAGCGGCGAACGGGUGAGUAACACGUGGGUGACCUGCCCUUAGCUCUGGGAUAAGCCUGGGAAACUGGGUCUAAUACCGGAUAUGACUCCAUGACGCAUGUUGUGGGGUGGAAAGCCUUGUGCGGCUAGGGAUGGGCCCGCGGCCUAUCAGCUUGUUGGUGGGGUGAUGGCCUACCAAGGCGACGACGGGUAGCCGGCCUGAGAGGGCGACCGGCCACACUGGGACUGAGACACGGCCCAGACUCCUACGGGAGGCAGCAGUGGGGAAUCUUGCGCAAUGGGCGAAAGCCUGACGCAGCGACGCCGCGU
rnacentral:rRNA from 1 species